rnacentral:rRNA from 1 species
UACGGAGGGGGCGAGCGUUAUUCGGAAUUAUUGGGCGUAAAGGGCGCGUAGGCGGCCCGGUAAGUCAAAGGUGAAAUCCCUCGGCUCAACUGAGGAACUGCCUUUGAAACUGUCGGGCUUGAGGCCGGGAGGGGGUAGCGGAAUUCCCAGUGUAGCGGUGAAAUGCGUAGAGAUGUGGAGGAACACCAGUGGCGAAGGCGGCUUUCUGGUCUGUAACUGACGCUGAGGCGCGAAAGCGUGGGGAGCAAACAGG